UACGUAGGGUGCAAGCGUUAAUCGGAAUUACUGGGCGUAAAGCGUGCGCAGGCGGUUAUGUAAGACAGUUGUGAAAUCCCCGGGCUCAACCUGGGAAUUGCAUCUGUGACUGCAUAGCUAGAGUACGGUAGAGGCUGGUAGAAUUCCCGGUGUAGCGGUGGAAUGCGUAGAGAUCGGGAAGAAUACCUGUGGCGAAGGCAGCCCCCUGGGCCAAUACUGACGCUCAUGCACGAAAGCGUGGGGAGCAAACAGG
rnacentral:rRNA from 1 species